ACCAAUGUGAUGAGUGUGGGGAAGGCCAUAGAAAGGACCGGCGAAUGCUGGCAUUGAUGUGUGUUAUUUUAACAUUUCUGAAAUCCUGUUCUUAGUCUGCACACCUUGUCCGAGGCUCCGAUGUUAUCCAGGUCACCAGGUAUGCCCCUGGGCUCCUGCCGCAGCUGAUCGGGUGCUAGGUGCUGAGGAUACACGUCUGGGAGAAAGCAAUUGGAAGAAAUGCAAAGCUCUUCAAAGGAGACCUAUAAAGUCAUCUUUGUUUUGUUCAUUCUUCUCAUGUUUCUGCAUUCUGGGCAUUCUCCUAAAUUGGGGAGAAACCAAAAUGCCCAGAAGUCAAAUUCUGCAACUGUCAUCAUGCAAAAUGUCAAAUGAGAGAACCAAAGUAUGCUGGAUUCUAUAUUGUUAGGAAGGGAUGGUUAAUUUGAUUGACUCUUGGGAGCUAUUUUUCUAGCAUUAAGUAAUUCUAGGGAACCCUUCUGUGAUCAUCUCUGAGUAAAUAAAGAAGUGAAAUUGCAAUUCAAA